rnacentral:rRNA from 1 species
UACAGAGGUCCCAAGCGUUGUUCGGAUUCAUUGGGCGUAAAGGGUGCGUAGGCGGCGCGGUAAGUCGGGUGUGAAAUCUCGGAGCUUAACUCCGAAACUGCAUUCGAUACUGCCGUGCUUGAGGACUGGAGAGGAGACUGGAAUCUACGGUGUAGCGGUGAAAUGCGUAGAUAUCGUAAGGAAGACCAGUGGCGAAGGCGGGUCUCUGGACAGUUCCUGACGCUGAGGCACGAAGGCCAGGGGAGCAAACGGG